rnacentral:rRNA from 1 species
UAGGGAAUCUUCCACAAUGGGCGCAAGCCUGAUGGAGCAACACCGCGUGAGUGAAGAAGGGUUUCGGCUCGUAAAACUCUGUUGGUAGAGAAGAACGUUGGUGAGAGUGGAAAGCUCAUCAAGUGACGGUAACUACCUAGAAAGGGACGGCUAACUACGUACCAG